rnacentral:misc_RNA from 1 species
GUCAGCAACUAAAGGCAGAGUGGUACACUUAAUAACUUAUUUUCUUUUUAUUUUAAGUUUUAGAAGGAGAUCAUUACAUCUAUCAUUUUCUAGACUGCCAUUCUCUGGACAUUUUACUUAUAACCAUACGUGUUGGUAAUCUAAAUUGAUGUCAUUUUGGGAUGUUAUGAACCACAACCACUGCUUACCAAAUAAGGGAUUGGAUUAAAAUUUUCCUGUGUAUGGCUGCUGCAGGUCUGUAGGCAUGAUUAGGGAUAAGACAUUAUGGUAAAUGAGCUUGUGUCUGUACAUGCUUUUUAGUUGAUUUUUCAAAUGUGAU